rfam:Triticum aestivum genome assembly, contig: Triticum_aestivum_CS42_TGACv1_scaffold_526564_6DL
GAUGUACUCCCUCCGUCCGGAAAUACUUGUCAUCAAAAUGAAUAAAAGGGGAUGUAUCUAGAUGUAUUUUAGUUCUAGAUACACCUUUUUUGUCCAUUUUGAUGACAAGUUUUUUCGGAUGGAGGGAGUACUAC